AGAUGCAGUCGAGCGGAAACGAGUUAUCUGAACCUUCGGGGAACGAUAACGGCGUCGAGCGGCGGACGGGUGAGUAAUGCCUAGGAAAUUGCCCUGAUGUGGGGGAUAACCAUUGGAAACGAUGGCUAAUACCGCAUGAUGCCUACGGGCCAAAGAGGGGGACCUUCGGGCCUCUCGCGUCAGGAUAUGCCUAGGUGGGAUUAGCUAGUUGGUGAGGUAAGGGCUCACCAAGGCGACGAUCCCUAGCUGGUCUGAGAGGAUGAUCAGCCACACUGGAACUGAGACACGGUCCAGACUCCUACGGGAGGCAGCAGUGGGGAAUAUUGCACAAUGGGCGCAAGCCUGAUGCAGCCAUGCCGCGUGUGUGAAGAAGGCCUUCGGGUUGUAAAGCACUUUCAGUCGUGAGGAAGGUGGUGUAGUUAAUAGCUGCAUUAUUUGACGUUAGCGACAGAAGAAGCACCGGCUAACUCCGUGCCAGCAGCCGCGGUAAUACGGAGGGUGCGAGCGUUAAUCGGAAUUACUGGGCGUAAAGCGCAUGCAGGUGGUUUGUUAAGUCAGAUGUGAAAGCCCGGGGCUCAACCUCGGAAUAGCAUUUGAAACUGGCAGACUAGAGUACUGUAGAGGGGGGUAGAAUUUCAGGUGUAGCGGUGAAAUGCGUAGAGAUCUGAAGGAAUACCGGUGGCGAAGGCGGCCCCCUGGACAGAUACUGACACUCAGAUGCGAAAGCGUGGGGAGCAAACAGGAUUAGAUACCCUGGUAGUCCACGCCGUAAACGAUGUCUACUUGGAGGUUGUGGCCUUGAGCCGUGGCUUUCGGAGCUAACGCGUUAAGUAGACCGCCUGGGGAGUACGGUCGCAAGAUUAAAACUCAAAUGAAUUGACGGGGCCGCACAGCGGUGGAGCAUGUGUUUAUUCGAUGCACGCGAGAACCUUACCUACUCUGACUUCAGA
rnacentral:rRNA from 1 species